GACGAACGCUGGCGGUGUGCUUCACACAUGCAAGUCGAACGAGUGACUGCUUUGUAGCAAUACAAAGUAGAAGCUAGUGGCGGACGGGUGAGUAACGCGUAGGAAUCUGCCUUUGAGUGGGGGAUAGCAGACCGAAAGGUCUAUUAAUACCGCAUACGUAUAUACUUCGACAGUUGUAUAUAUAAAAGNGCAAUCUGCUCAUAGAUGAGCCGCGUCCGAUUAGCUAGUUGGUAGUGUAAUAGACUACCAAGGCGACGAUCGGUAGGUGGUCUGAGAGGAUGAUCACCCANAUGGAACUGAGACACGGUCCAUACUCCUAGGGAGCAGCAGUGGGAAUUUUGNGCAAGU
rnacentral:rRNA from 1 species